GCAUCUAAGCACGAAGCCCACCUCAAGAUGAGACUUCUUCUAAGGGUCGUGGAAGAUGACCACGUUGAUAGGCUGUAGGUGUAAAGUCAGUAAUGGCAAAGCCGAGCAGUACUAAUUACCCGUAGACUUUCGAUC
rnacentral:rRNA from 1 species